AUUGAACGCUGGCGGGAUGCUUUACACAUGCAAGUCGAACGGCAGCACGGGGGCAACCCUGGUGGCGAGUGGCGAACGGGUGAGUAAUACAUCGGAACGUGCCCAGUCGUGGGGGAUAACGUAGCGAAAGUUACGCUAAUACCGCAUACGAUCUACGGAUGAAAGCGGGGGACCGUAAGGCCUCGCGCGAUUGGAGCGGCCGAUGUCAGAUUAGGUAGUUGGUGAGGUAAAGGCUCACCAAGCCGACGAUCUGUAGCUGGGCUGAGAGGACGACCAGCCACACUGGGACUGAGACACGGCCCAGACUCCUACGGGAGGCAGCAGUGGGGAAUUUUGGACAAUGGGCGCAAGCCUGAUCCAGCCAUUCCGCGUGCAGGACGAAGGCCUUCGGGUUGUAAACUGCUUUUGUACGGAACGAAAAGGCUCUGGUUAAUACCUGGGGCUCAUGACGGUACCGUAAGAAUAAGCACCGGCUAACUACGUGCCAGCCGCCGCAGUAA
rnacentral:rRNA from 1 species